rnacentral:rRNA from 1 species
GUAGUGGGGAGUCUGCCCGAUAGAGGGGAAUAACUACUGGAAACGGUGGCUAAUACCGCAUAAUGUCUACGGACCAAAGCAGGGGCUCUUCGGACCUUGCACUAUCGGAUGAACCCAUAUGGGAUUAGCUAGUGGUGGGGUAAAGGCUCACCUAGGCGACGAUCUCUAGCUGGUCUGAGAGGAUGAUCAGCCACACUGGGACUGAGACACGGCCCAG